rnacentral:rRNA from 1 species
GGGGAAUCUUCCGCAAUGGACGAAAGUCUGACGGAGCAACGCCGCGUGAGUGAUGACGGCCUUCGGGUUGUAAAGCUCUGUUAAUCGGGGCGAAAGGUCUUCUUGCGAAUAGUUAGAAGAAUUGACGGUACCGGAAUAGAAAGCCACGGCUAACUACGUGCCAGCAGCCGCGGUAAUACGUAGGUGGCAAGCGUUGUCCGGAAUUAUUGGGCGUAAAGCGCGCGCAGGCGGAUCAGUCAGUCUGUCUUAAAAGUUCGGGGCUUAACCCCGUGAUGGGAUGGAAACUGCUGAUCUAGAGUAUCGGAGAGGAAAGUGGAAUUCCUAGUGUAGCGGUGAAAUGCGUAGAUAUUAGGAAGAACACCAGUGGCGAAGGCGACUUUCUGGACGAAAACUGACGCUGAGGCGCGAAAGCCAGGGGAGCGAACGGGAUUAGAUACCCCGGUAGUCCUGGCCGUAAACGAUGGGUACUAGGUGUAGGAGGUAUCGACCCCUUCUGUGCCGGAGUUAACGCAAUAAGUACCCCGCCUGGGGAGUACGACCGCAAGGUUG